GUGGGGAAUAUUGGACAAUGGGCGAAAGCCUGAUCCAGCAAUGCCGCGUGAGUGAUGAAGGCCUUAGGGUUGUAAAGCUCUUUUACCCGGGAUGAUAAUGACAGUACCGGGAGAAUAAGCUCCGGCUAACUCCGUGCCAGCAGCCGCGGUAAUACGGAGGGAGCUAGCGUUGUUCGGAAUUACUGGGCGUAAAGCGCACGUAGGCGGCUUUGUAAGUUAGAGGUGAAAGCCUGGAGCUUAACUCCAGAACUGCCUUUAAGACUGCAUCGCUUGAAUCCAGGAGAGGUGAGUGGAAUUCCGAGUGUAGAGGUGAAAUUCGUAGAUAUUCGGAAGAACACCAGUGGCGAAGGCGGCUCACUGGACUGGUAUUGACGCUGAGGUGCGAAAGCGUGGGGAGCAAACAGGAUUAGAAACCCGGGUAGUCC
rnacentral:rRNA from 1 species